CCCGGCAGAACCAGCUCGGCGGCCUCGCUUCGCAUGGAAUAAGCUCGAUCCAGCUCGGUUCGAGCAGCAGUUUGGCUCAGCUCGGUCCCGUUCGGGUCAGCUUGGGCUCGGCACAGCUCAGCUCACUUCAAAUCAGGCUUGGUUUGGUGCCUCAUCCGUGUCCAGCACUGACUGCCUCUGUCCUGGUCCCUGUCCCUGUCCCUGUCCCUGUCUCGUCUCUCCCCAGGGAACUUUGUGCCUAAUGCAGACAAUAACCAGGAAAAAAGAGGGGAGAAAAAAUCCCAGGAACAUCUCCGCUGAGCUGGUUACUUAUGCGGGGAGGUGAUGAAGGAGAAUUUGGGGACCUGGACUCCAGGUUCCACGGAUGUGCCACCAUUACCGUCCACCCAGGCACCCAAAAAUCCCCUCCCCCGUGUGUAGGGGCAGUGGAACAAAGCCAGGGAAGUGCUUUCACAACAGGGAGUUUCUCGGUGAAUGCAAAUGAAAGGCUUUGUGAAAUCGCUCCCAACAAUGGCUAAAGGGCUUUUUUUUCUGGUUUGUUUUAGAUGCCUUGUGCAACUUCGGCGUGUCCAAGUGCAGGGAACAGAGGCGAUUCUCUCAGCAGAAUGGAAUAUCAGCCCACUUGUGCAGGAGGAACAGAAGAAGGCAGAACGCCCGCCCGAGGUUAUCCAGCAGGACACGGAUUAGGCCGUGUGUUUCCCGGAUCAGCUGAAAAGAAAUCCUCUUGUGCUGGAUCUCAGCCUCCCUCACCCUUGUCCGCCCGCAUCCCUCGAGGGUGACGGGUCCCGGACCGCGGCUCGGGCGCAGCCCUUUGGAAAGCGGCGCUCGCAAGGAGCUCUUGUUCCGCCGUGUUCUCCCUCCUGUCACAGCCCUGCGUGUGUUGAACCACCCGUGCGACAUGCCAGAGCUGUUCUAGCUGCAGAGAUGUGCCCAGAGGAGCGGCUCAAGGAAUCCCCAGGGCACGGAGCUGAGCUCCAGCUCGGGGCUAAGCUCCCAUGCGUGUCCUGUCUGUGCUCUGCUGAUCCCGGCAUGGACAGCGCAUCACUGCUGUGUGAAAUAAAGCUUUUGUUUCUCUCGA